AGUGGCGGACGGGUGAGUAACGCGUAAGAAUCUAACUUCAGGACGGGGACAACAGUGGGAAACGACUGCUAAUACCCGAUGUGCCGCGAGGUGAAACCUAAUUGGCCUGAAGAAGAGCUUGCGUCUGAUUAGCUAGUUGGUGGGGUAAGAGCCUACCAAGGCGACGAUCAGUAGCUGGUCUGAGAGGAUGAGCAGCCACACUGGGACUGAGACACGGCCCAGACUCCUACGGGAGGCAGCAGUGGGGAAUUUUCCGCAAUGGGCGAAAGCCUGACGGAGCAACGCCGCGUGAGGGAGGAAGGUCUUUGGAUUGUAAACCUCUUUUCUCAAGGAAGAAGUUCUGACGGUACUUGAGGAAUCAGCCUCGGCUAACUCCGUGCCAGCAGCCGCGGUAAUACGGGGGAGGCAAGCGUUAUCCGGAAUUAUUGGGCGUAAAGCGUCCGCAGGUGGUCAGCCAAGUCUGCCGUCAAAUCAGGUAGCUUAACGACCUAAAGGCGGUGGAAACUGGCAGACUAGAGAGCAGUAGGGGUAGCAGGAAUUCCCAGUGUAGCGGUGAAAUGCGUAGAGAUUGGGAAGAACAUCGGUGGCGAAAGCGUGCUACUGGGCUGUAUCUGACACUCAGGGACGAAAGCUAGGGGAGCGAAAGGGAUUAGAUACCCCUGUAGUCCUAGCCGUAAACGAUGGAUACUAGGCGUGGCUU
rnacentral:rRNA from 1 species